rnacentral:rRNA from 1 species
ACCCGACUGCUAUCAGAGUGGGAUAAGCCAUGCGAGUUAACGCCGUAAGACGUGGCAUACGGGCUCAGUAACAUGUAGUCAACAUGCCCAAAGGACGUGGAUAACCUCGGGAAACUGAGGAUAAACCGCGAUAGGCCAAGGUUUCUGGAAUGAGCCAUGACCUAAAUCUAUAUGGCCUUUGGAUUGGACUGCGGCCGAUCAGGCUGUUGGUGAGGUAAUGGCCCACCAAACCUAUAACCGGUACGGGCUUUGAGAGAAGGAGCCCGGAGAUGGGCACUGAGACAAGGGCCCAGGCCCUAUGGGGCGCAGCAGGCGCGAAACCUCUGCAAUAAGCGAAAGCUUGACAGGGUUACUCUGAGUGAUGUCCGUUAAGGGCAUCUUUUGGCACCUCUAAAAAUGGUGUAGAAUAAGGGGUGGGCAAGUCUGGUGUCAGCCGCCGCGGUAAUACCAGCACCCCGAGUGGUCGGGACGAUUAUUGGGCCUAAAGCAUCCGUAGCUUGUCCUGCAAGUCUUCCGUUAAAUCCACCUGCUCAACAGUUGGGCUGCGGGGGAUACUGCAGAGCUAGGAGGCGGGAGAGGCAAACGGUACUCAGUGGGUAGGGGUAAAAUCCAUUGAUCUACUGAAGACCACCAGUGGCGAAGGCGGUUUGCCAGAACGCGCUCGACGGUGAGGGAUGAAAGCUGGGGGAGCAAACCGGAUUAGAUACCCGGGUAGUCCCAGCUGUAAACGAUGCAGACUCGGUGAUGGGUUGGCCUCGAGCCAACCCAGUGCCGCAGGGAAGCCGUUAAGUCUGCCGCCUGGGGAGUACGGUCGCAAGACUGAAACUUAAAGGAAUUGGCGGGGGAGCACCACAAGGGGUGAAGCCUGCGGUUCAAUUGGAUUCAACGCCGGAA